AUUUUAAAUAAACUGGACUAGAUGCAAGGGAGUGUAUUUCAAAGCCCUGCUUCUUCGAGGGCUUUUCACAGGCGCUCUUUUACACCCACGCAGAAAGAGAAUAUGACGAAUGAACAGCACUCAUCAUCGCCGCGGCCAUGGCUUCUCGACGCAGUGCCUUUCGUGGUGGUUCUCCUGAUAGCAGCCCACGUCCUCGCUUUGGUCUACUGGAUUUACAGAUUAGCCACCGAGAAACAGCCUCAGAGGAGAAAGGCACACUGAAAACUAACACUCCAAAGUCUAAUUUCAUUCAGCAAAAUUGGCAAAGGUUUUGGUUGAACCCUAAUUCGUCGAUUGUGAUGCAAGAAAAAAAUUAUGUAAUUAGUUUUGGUUAAUAGAACUAUUUGUUAAUGUUAAUGUUUUUAAUUGUUAUUGCAAUGUAAUUUACUUCAUUGAUUCGUAUCUUUAUACGGUUUAAGCAAGUUGAUGUGAUAGUAGUGAUACAUUUGAUUUGAGUGUUGUAUUAUAGUUGCUGAGUUUUCAGAGGUUUUGAUUUAUUCCAUGUUGUUUUGCUUGUGGGCAAGUUUAGUUCUAGAAAACAGUAGUUGCUUUGUCUUUGGGAUUA